rnacentral:rRNA from 1 species
GAGUAGCGCGUGAGGAACCUGCCUCAAAGAGGGGGACAACAGUUGGAAACGACUGCUAAUACCGCAUAAGCCCACGGCUCGGCAUCGAGCAGAGGGAAAAGGAGUGAUCCGCUUUGAGAUGGCCUCGCGUCCGAUUAGCUAGUUGGUGAGGUGACGGCCCACCAAGGCGACGAUCGGUAGCCGGACUGAGAGGUUGAACGGCCACAUUGGGACUGAGACACGGCCCAGACUCCUACGGGAGGCAGCAGUGGGGAAUAUUGCACAAUGGGGGAAACCCUGAUGCAGCGACGCCGCGUGGAGGAAGAAGGUCUUCGGAUUGUAAACUCCUGUUGUUGAGGAAGAUAAUGACGGUACUCAACAAGGAAGUGACGGCUAACUACGUGCCAGCAGCCGCGGUAAAACGUAGGUCACAAGCGUUGUCCGGAAUUACUGGGUGUAAAGGGAGCGCAGGCGGGAGAACAAGUUGGAAGUGAAAUCCAUGGGCUCAACCCAUGAACUGCUUUCAAAACUGUUUUUCUUGAGUAGUGCAGAGGUAGGCGGAAUUCCCGGUGUAGCGGUGGAAUGCGUAGAUAUCGGGAGGAACACCAGUGGCGAAGGCGGCCUACUGGGCACCAACUGACGCUGAGGCUCGAAAGUGUGGGUAGCAAACAGGAUUAGAUACCCUGGUAGUCCACACCGUAAACGAUGAUUACUAGGUGUUGGAGGAUUGACCCCUUCAGUGCCGCAG